CCUACGGGAGGCAGCAGUGGGGGAUAUUGCACAAUGGGGGGAACCCUGAUGCAGCGACGCCGCGUGGGUGAAGGAGCGCCUCGGCGCGUAAAGCCCUGUCAGCAGGGAAGAAAGUGAAGGUAACCUAAGUAGAAACCCCCGCUAACUACGUGCCAGCCGCCGCGGUCAUACGUAGGGGGCAAGCGUUAUCCGGAUUUACUGGGUGUGAAGGGGGCGCAGACGGCGAUGCAAGGCAGGAGUGAAAGCCCGGGGCCCAACCCCGGGACUGCUCUUGGAACUGCGUGGCUGGAGUGCAGGAGGGGCAGGCGGAAUUCCUGGUGUAGCGGUGAAAUGCGUAGAUAUCAGGAGGAACACCGGGGGCGAAGGCGGCCUGCUGGACUGCGACUGACGUUGAGGCCCGAAAGCGUGGGGAGCAAACAGGAUUAGAUACCCUUGUAGUC
rnacentral:rRNA from 1 species